ensembl:lncRNA
UAUAGAAGGAGUCACAGUACCACUAAUCCACUAAUCAGGAGGUCUAGGAGGAGUCAUAGUACCACUAAUCAGGAGGUCUAUAAGGAGUCAUAGUACCACUAAUCAGGAGGUAUAGAAGGAGUCAUAGUACAUAGCUCAGAUGGAGUCCAGAUGUUUGGUGUGAACCUGACCAGGACUACCACAGUGGAUGCAUAGUCCUGACGGUGAAGCACGGAGGUGGGAGUGUGAUGACAAAUGAGCUGAUACUCAAACAAAGUUUUAAAAAAGUAGUUUCUGUCAUUUUAUUUUGGAUGAAUUGUGAAGAAUUUAGUGAAAACACUGAUGAAAUAUGAUCUGACUUUAGAAGGAUGGAAUGUUUGAUCUUUUUUUCUUGUAUUUUUCCAGUUAAUUACCCC